UACGGAGGGUGCAAACGUUGCUCGGAAUCAUUGGGCGUAAAGCGCACGUAGGCGGCCUGUUAAGUCGGAUGUGAAAGCCCCGGGCUCAACCCGGGAAGUGCAUACGAAACUGGCGGGCUUGAAUAUGGAAGAGGGUCGCGGAAUUCCCGGUGUAGAGGUGAAAUUCGUAGAUAUCGGGGAGGAACACCAGUGGCGAAGGCGGCGACCUGGGCCAAUAUUGACGCUGAGGUGCGAA
rnacentral:rRNA from 1 species